ACAGGGAUUGCCCUAGUAACGGCGAGUGAAGCGGCAACAGCUCAAAUUUGAAAUCUGGCCCUCGGGUCCGAGUUGUAAUUUGUAGAGGAUGAUUUUGGUUAGGUACCUUCCGAGUUCCUUGGAACAGGACGCCUUAGAGGGUGAGAGCCCCGUACGGUUGGAUGCCGAGCCUCUGUAAAUCUCCUUCGACGAGUCGAGUAGUUUGGGAAUGCUGCUCUAAAUGGGAGGUAAAUUUCUUCUAAAGCUAAAUACCGGCCAGAGACCGAUAGCGCACAAGUAGAGUGAUCGAAAGAUGAAAAGCACUUUGAAAAGAGGGUUAAAUAGUACGUGAAAUUGUUGAAAGGGAAGGGCUUGUGACCAGACCUUUGCCUUGCGGAUCAUCCGGUGUUCUCACCGGUGCACUCCGCUUGGUUGAGGCCAGCAUCAGUUUCGGCGGCGGGAUAAAGACUUCAGGAACGUGACUCCCCCGGGAGUGUUAUAGCCUGCUGUGUAAUACCGCCGCUGGGACUGAGGACCGCGCUUCGGCUAGGAUGCUGGCAUAAUGGUCAUCAGCCACCCGUCUUGAAACACGGACCAAGGAGUCGAACAUUUAUGCGAGUUUUUGGGUGUUAAACCCUCAAGCGUAAUGAAAGUGAACGGAGGUGAGAGCCCUUACGGGUGCAUCAUCGACCGAUCCUGAUGUCUUCGGAUGGAUUUGAGUAAGAGCAUAACUGUUCGGACCCGAAAGAUGGUGAACUAUGCGUGGAUAGGGUGAAGCCAGAGGAAACUCUGGUGGAGGCUCGCAGCGGUUCUGACGUGCAAAUCGAUCGUCAAAUCUGCGCAUGGGGGCGAAAGACUAAUCG
rnacentral:rRNA from 1 species